rnacentral:rRNA from 1 species
GUUGUUGCAGUUAAAAAGCUCGUAGUUGAAUUUCGGGGUUAGUAGGUUGGUCAUGCCUCUGGUAUGUACUGGUCUCACUGAUUCCUCCUUCCUUAUGAACCGUAAUGCCAUUAAUUUGGUGUUGCGGGGAAUUUGGACUGUUACUUUGAAAAAAUUAGAGUGUUUAAAGCAAGCUAACGCUUGAAUACAUUAGCAUGGAAUAAUGAAAUAGGACGUUCGAUCUUAUUUUGUUGGUUUCUAGGAUUGACGUAAUGAUUAAUAGGGAUAGUUGGGGGCAUUAGUAUUCAAUUGUCAGAGGUGAAAUUCUUGGAUUUAUUGAAGACUAACUACUGCGAAAGCAUUUGCCAAGGAUGUUUUCAUUAAUCAAGAACGAAAGUUAGGGGAUCGAAGACGAUCAGAUACCGUCGUAGUCUUAACCAUAAACUAUGCCGACUAGGGAUCGGAUGAUGUUAAUUUUUUAAUGACUCAUUCGGCGCCUUACGGGAAAC